rnacentral:rRNA from 1 species
AACGAACGCUGGCGGCAUGCCUAACAUAUGCAAGUCGAACGAGACCUUCGGGUCUAGUGGCGCACGGGUGCGUAACGCGUGGGAACCUGCCCUUAGGUUCGGAAUAACUCCCCGAAAGGGGUGCUAAUACCGGAUAAUGUCUUCGGACCAAAGAUUUAUCGCCUUUGGAUGGGCCCGCGUUGGAUUAGCUAGUUGGUAGGGUAAAAGCCUACCAAGGCGACGAUCCAUAGCUGGUCUGAGAGGAUGAUCAGCCACACUGGGACUGAGACACGGCCCAGACUCCUACGGGAGGCAGCAGUGGGGAAUAUUGGACAAUGGGCGGAAGCCUGAUCCAGCAAUGCCGCGUGAGUGAUGAAGGCCUUAGGGUUGUAAAGCUCUUUUACCCGGGAUGAUAAUGACAGUACCGGGAGAAUAAGCUCCGGCUAACUCCGUG